UAUUUAUCCGUAAAGAAGUACAAUAUUCAUCCCUAAUUUGACGGGGGUUCCGGGGAUCGCGAAUCUCAUCUCCGACGCUGCCACUUCAUCUCCAUCGGUAGGCAGUUAAUCCUUCCUCCAUCUACCGCCGGCCGCCCGACCAUCUCCUUCCACCAUUUCUCACCUCAUCUUCCCCGACUCUGAUUCCCCGAUCAGAUUUGGACGUCGCCUCCCUCAUCUCAUGGAAGAAGGCAAACAAGGGAGCUUGAAGCCAGACGCCACCAUCAUCUCCAUCGCCGGCCUCCACUGCACCAUCCACAUCUUACUCUUUGGGUUAGAAGAGGAGGAACCGAAGCCUUCCCCUUCCCCUCUUCGGGUUAGAAGAGAGGAAGCUCCUUCAUCCUUCAUCAUCAGGCCAUCUUCCUAUUCGGGUUAGAAGGGAAGAUCCGGCAGCCCCUUCCCCUCUUCGGGUUAGAAGAGGAGAAGCCCCUUCAUCAUCCGGAGAUUCAGCUCCUCUUCCCGUCAGCCCUCUUCUGGCGAUUCCACGGCCACCUCUCCUUUUCAGGUUAGAAGAGAAGAGCUCUCCACUUCUAGGAAUCAUUUCCUCAUUCCGGCAAUCCCACAACUCCGGCUUCAUCAAAUCCAGCCACAUAUCAUCCAUUCGGCAGUUCCGGGCAGCAGCACCUUAGUGAUGCGUUGGUUUGUUUUCUUUUGUGUAUGUCUUGUUGAUUGUUGAAUUGUAACGAAGUUAUCCUCCCUUGUUUUAGUUUGCAUGCAUUAGGGUUGAAUUACUUGAUUCUCACUAUGUUUUGAAGAAUGCCUCUUACAUUCUUGUUACUUGUAUUUGUGUCAAUGCAUUUCAAUUCAUUUCAUUCCAGCUAUGUUUUUGUUUAAUUGGAUGUUUGUUCUUCAUUUGGAUGUCAUUAGGUUAGAUUAGUUAGUUUUUGUUAAUUGUCUUAUGUUUCAUUUCAUGCUUAGUUUCAUUUAACGUUUGCUUUGUGUUUUUCUUUAAUUUCCUUUCAAUUAUAGUUUACAGUCACACUGUCUUUUAUUUAUUAGGGUUAGAUUUCAUUACAUGCAUUGCUCUUUAUUUGUUCGGUUUAGUCCCAAAACCCAAACCUACAUUUCCAUAACAAAAAAAAGCAAUAAAAUUGGAUCCUAAGUUUACCAUUAUAUUCCUUGUGAGAGACGAACUGAGUCAUCUCUAUGCUAUAUUAGUGUAGAGUUCGGUAAAUGAAUUGUGUUUGAUAUCGUGGUACGACACACUGAUUAUCAAUGGCUCUGUUGCAGGGGAGUUAUAAUGGUGUUUGAUAAAUCUUAGGAUUGUUUUUCUAUUCUUCACAAAAAUUUGAAAAAAAAUUGUCAGGGCUUAAUUUUAUUAUAUCCAUGUGCUUUGUUCUGUAUGUUUUGUGUCUUGUAAUUUUGUUUGUUUCAGUGUUUCAUGAUAAGAAUAGGAACUUUCCUUUGUGUGCCAUGGAUGUAUACUCUCAGCAGGGACUUCUUGCCUUAGAUCUUGUAGACAAUAUGGUGAACAAUAAUGGCAAAAAUCUCAAGGAGGUUUGGGUGCUAGAUGUGACUUAUCAAUCCUUCUGCAUCCAGUAUUCUGAGUUAGAUGCGGACUUAAAAUUAUGGCGAAUUCUAUAUUUGUUAUCGAAAUUUGAUGGUCUUGAUAGAGGAUCCUAUUAGGUAUCUGCAGAAAUUUCAUAUGGUGUGCUAUACCAUGAAGCCGCAUGGCAUAUCAAAAGAAGACAUCAAACUUCGAGAAUUCCCAUUUUCACUGGUAGAUUUAGCAAAAUAUUUGUUGUAUGGUCUUCCCUCUGGUUCUAUAACUAGCUGGUACGAAAUGAAGAGGUCAUUCUUGGAGAAGUUCUUUACGGCAUCGAGGAUUGUAGCUAUUAGGAAGAGCAUAUGUGGGAUCCAACAACUUUCAGGGGAGACUUUAUACGAGUAUUGGGAAAGAUUCAAAAGAUUUUGUACUAGUUGUCCUCAACACGAGAUUAACGAUCAGCUACUUAUUCAAUACUUCUAUAAGGGAUUACUUUCCAUGGACAAAAAUAUGAUUGAUGUAACUAGUGGAGGGACUCUAAUCAACAAAACUCCUACUCAGGCUAGAGAACUCAUAGAGAUCAUGGCUGCUAAUUCACAACAAUUUGGAAACAGACAAAUGGUUGUCAGAAGUGUUAAUGAGGCCUAUGUUUCAAGUAUCUAGCAGUCACAUUACUACCAAUUCUAACAGUAUGGCAUGUAUGAUCCAGUUCCCAAUACUCAUAUUCGUGAUUGAAGAGAGGAUCAAAUUUCAAGUAUGGGGACACAGAACAACAGAGUGCAUAGUUUUUCCAACAUAUCAAACUCCAUUUGGAUUUCAGAACAACCCAGUUUCAAACAAGUCACAGCAAGUCUAGCCGUCCAAACCAAAGUCGUCUACAUAGAAAUUGGAGGAGCAUAUGCAACAACAAAUUUCACAACAAAUUUCAGCACAAAUGGAACAACAACAAGUUAAUCUGCAGCAAUAUCAACAGAGAAAUGAUGUGAUUGUUCAGAGCUUGGAGCGAUAGAUGGAUCAGAUUACUUCUUCACUUAGCCAACUACAAGCAACUUCCUUCAGAAACCAUUCAUAAGGACUCCUCUGAUUCUUUGUGUCAGGACGAUGAAGUUGUAAAUGAUGGCAAUUUUGAUGGUGAUAGUGAUGCAUGCAAAAAUCUA